GGAGAAACCAGAUUGGCAAUCUCAACUCCGAGGGUCUUUUCAUCAUCAGAAGAUGCCUGAAAAUGGAUUAAUAAAUAGAAUUCAAGCUCCACAGAUAAGAAACGGUCCAGGACUUACCACGCCAUUCCAUAGAUUAAAAUACCUUGGUCCAGAGCGGAUAGCCUUUCUCUGUUAAGAACUUCUGGGCCACAUUCAUCGCUUCAAGUUUCUCAGCCUUAGUACAUCCGCGACCAAUCCAGACAAAAAGCCCCGAUCCCGCAGUGUCCAAAAUAAAACAAUCCUAUAAGAAAAGCAAGAAUUAAAUAACAGAUAUCAAGAAGACCUUCAAAUUGUUCAAGUUGACGGUGCUCUCGUUUUCAAUCAGUGCAACAAAUUGGAUGCAGUUAGACUCGCAGCGACUUACCGAAUUCUCACUUUCAUCGUUCUUCUCAUAUCACGUUAAGUGUUGGCGUGUUAGUGAAAGCAAAACAAAACACGAUUAAAAAAACAUUAAAGGAUUAGUGUACAAUCCAAGGUGGCGUGAGAAGUAAGGACGGAAGCUAUCACAACGGGCAAAACGGAAACAAGUGAUUUACCUCUCUUUUCAACAUGGAUUGCUGUAGAGGUUUUUGACCGACUUCUUCAAUCACCAAUUGUCCGCUAGCAUCGCUCACGCGGAACAAUAUCACUGACGACUUGAAAGUAAGAGAAUUUCGUAAAUAUUUUAUUUUUUGUGGGUCUUUGCUUUAAAUUUGGUUGUACUUGUUGUUGUUUUUCGAAUGAAACGUCGUCAUCUUCGGGAGAUGCUUCCGGAACUUCCCCUGGUGAUCCACUUCCCAGCUCAUUGAAAAAUGUCAUAACAUCACCCCCAUUGCUGAAUUCGUCUGUGUGAAACGAAAUCGUUUUAUAAAAAAUUGAUUUUUUGGGUGUGUUUAUUAAGGCAACGUACCGAGGAUAAUGAUCCUGGCUUUGCCAGCAUGGUCUUGAUCACGGACUUGAUUGGCCGCCUGAAUCGCCUUCAAACGUUCCACCUUCUUGCUACUGUUGCCCAUAUAUACAUAGAUGACUUUUCCAGCAUCCAAAACGAAGCAAUCGCCUUUGUUCAUUGAAGAAACGUCAAGUGGGACCUGCAGUAAUUUCAUAGAUUUUCUGUCUUAAAUUAAAAGUUCUUUUAGAGUUCCAACGGGAUACAAAUGUACCUGUCUGACGCGAACGUUUCGCUUGCCCUUGACUUGCAAAAGUUUCUUCUCCACUUGGUCGGGAUCAACAUGCUUGAAACCACUGGCAACUCCGCCAUCAAGGUAUCGCACACCUUAAAAAUUGUGACAUUUGAAGAAAAAAAAAUUACAUAAAGCCCUUUAGGAGAAGCAGCUCAGUCAACGCGUACCGCUAGGGAAAUUUGCCAGGAACAUUGAUGACUCAUAUUCUUGAACUUCUCGAUGUUGAACAGGAACUCCGCCGAGAUAGUCGUCCAACUCGACAGCAAAAAUUGCUGCUGCUCCCAUUUCAUCCUAUACAAUCAAUCACAGUUUAUUGCCUUACAGUCAGAUGAUGAUGGAUCGAGAUGAUGUACCCCGUAAAAAAGAUUCUUCCGGCACAAACCGAAUACCCCCAGGAAAUAUAUUUUUGAUGACGAAGAAAUAAGUAUGGUGUGUCUGAGUUGACUCCCAAAGACUUGAGUAAUCGUGAAGUUGUCCACCAUGAAGCGUACAAGAAACCGGAUGCGGUGUUGAAACAAUUCCUUGCUGAUCGCAUUUUUCCUCGCUUCAGGCGAGUACGCAAUGAUGAAACUCGUUUGCGGCCACGCACGGGAAAGAACCGUUCGUCAAAAAAGCAGACGAGGCAAAACAAAAAAAGGAAACUUUCUACAGGACAGGAUUUCAUUUUAUGUUUCGCUUUUGUUUUGUCUGCUUUUGUUGAUCAUCUUAUUUCCCAGGUUCCAAAAACAGCCAUAAAAUUUUCGGAUUAUCUCUCAUGCUGAUGACAACUCUAUUGUGCACCUAUUUCUAAACGUGCGUCUACGUGAUGCUCAGAGUUCCAGCACUCCCAAAUUGUGUGGGUGUUAAAAAAUACCAUGGCCAUGCAGUGCCUCAAGGUGUGUCGGUCUCGCGUUCAUUUUACCGUAACGUGUACCGAUGUACAUGCGUGCUCAACAGCCCAUGUUUCCUACGCGAACGGAUGGAACCAGAGAAAAUUAACACUGGUAAACGGGAAUCUACAUUUUUCACCUAUGUUUUUUUGGCAACAUGAUGAGGUAAGGACAAACUACGGGCUGUAUUUUGUUAUUCUUAUUAUAAUUUUUUUUUGUCAUUUCCGGGAGUUUGUACAUUGUUAUUGCUAGAAGAGCAGCUAGCUACAGAGGGGAAACGAAAGAAUCUAAAUUUAGAUCUUUAGUUCCGUGUUUCAUGUUAUAUUUUGGUUUACUAGUCUCGUUUUCAGAUUUUUUUUACACACAAAGUGUGAUUUUCCUAAAAGAACAAUUUUUCUAAGUCAAUGAGUAGGCUACUAAUUGUGCUCUUUGUUCUUUGUUGUUUUAGCAAUUAGAUACUCGUCGCUCUAAAUUUGCGCCUGUUGCAAACUUGCUACUGUCAGAAAUCAAUAUCUUUGUUUAUUUUAUCACUAUUUAGAAAUCGCUCAUGGAUAUAUUUGUUAUUAUUAAUAUUUCCCUUACCUCGAUUCUCCAGAUUUCCAGACCGGGUUGUUUGCCUACAUCAGCUCCGAAUGGUGAUUCCGGCAUAUCAAAUUGUCAAUAUACUAAGGUUGCUAUGAA